AGAUAAAUUUCAAACACCACAAGGCAGAGCAUCAUUUCAACUCUAACUCCAGGGCUUUAAUGACAGAAGUACUCCCAAACACACCUCAUCAUCUUUCACACAAAGACUUCAGAGGUGGUGUUAGCAAAGCACAAAUUCAGCCACUUUUCCUUCUCCAGAAAACACUAAUUGGAAAGUGACAUGAUUAUGUACUGACAACAUUGAAUGUAAGAAUUUAUGUACUUUAUUACUACUUGAUAAACAAUAAAAAGUGUCAAAUUA